GAUGAACGCUGGCGGCGUGCCUAAUACAUGCAAGUCGAGCGAACAGACGAGGAGCUUGCUCCUCUGACGUUAGCGGCGGACGGGUGAGUAACACGUGGAUAACCUACCUAUAAGACUGGGAUAACUUCGGGAAACAGGAGCUAAUACCGGAUAAUAUAUUGAACCGCAUGGUUCAAUAGUGAAAGACGGUUUUGCUGUUACUUAUAGAUGGAUUCGCGCCGCAUUAGCUAGUUGGUAAGGUAACGGCUUACCAAGGCAACGAUGCGUAGCCGACCUGAGAGGGUGAUCGGCCACACUGGAACUGAGACACGGUCCAGACUCCUACGGGAGGCAGCAGUAGGGAAUCUUCCGCAAUGGGCGAAAGCCUGACGGAGCAACGCCGCGUGAGUGAUGAAGGUCUUCGGAUCGUAAAACUCUGUUAUUAGGGAAGAACAAAUGUGUAAGUAACUAUGCACGUCUUGACGGUACCUAAUCAGAAAGCCACGGCUAACUACGUG
rnacentral:rRNA from 1 species